UACAGAGGGUGCGAGCGUUAAUCGGAAUUAUUGGGCGUAAAGCGCAUGUAGGUGGUUUUUUAAGUCUGAUGUGAAAGCCCUGGGCUCAACCUGGGAAUUGCGUUGGAAACUGAAAAGCUAGAGUCGGACAGAGGGCCGUGGAAUUUCCGGUGUAGCAGUGAAAUGCGUAGAGAUCGGAAAGAACACCAGUGGCGAAGGCGGCGGCCUGGGUCCAGACUGACACUGAGGUGCGAAAGCAUGGGGAGCAAACAGG
rnacentral:rRNA from 1 species